AGUCAAUAGAUACCCGGGUAGUCCACGCCCUAAACGAUGUCAACUGGUUGUUGGGUCUUCACUGACUCAGUAAACGAAAGCUAAACGCGUGAAGUUGACCGCCUGGGGAGUACGGCCGCAAGGUUAAAACUCAAAGGAAUUGACGGGGACCCGCACAAGCGGUGGAUGAUGUGGUUUAAUUCGAUGCAACGCGAAAAACCUUACCACCUUUGACAUGUACGGAAUCCUGCAGAGACGCAGGAGUGCUCGAAAGAGAGCCGUAACACAGGUGCUGCAUGGCUGUCGUCAGCUCGUGUCGUGAGAUGUUGGGUUAAGUCCCGCAACGAGCGCAACCCUUGCCAUUAGUUGCUACGAAAGGGCACUCUAAUGGGACUGCCGGUGACAAACCGGAGGAAGGUGGGGAUGACGUCAAGUCCUCAUGGCCCUUAUAGGUGGGGCUACACACGUCAUACAAUGGCUGGUACAAAGGGUUGCCAACCCGCGAGGGGGAGCCAAUCCCAUAAAGCCAGUCGUAGUCCGGAUCGCAGUCUGCAACUCGACUGC
rnacentral:rRNA from 1 species